GUGAUGAACAGCUGUUACACGACAGAUAUGUUCAAAUGGGCACAAAGUGUGGACUUGGAAUUCACAGCCCAUGCUAAAAUUUGGAAUGCAGGGAAGUCUACAUUCUUUAACAUUUAGGACACCUACUGCUUAGGAGCAAUAAAGGACAUGUGGGAGAGCAAGAGUUCAUACGCCGUUCAACGUCUGAAGAGUAAGGAUGGCGUAGUUGUAUUAGGUGAUAGACGAAUGGAUAGCCCUGGCUACUGUGCCCAGUAUUGCUCUUACACAACAAUGGAGAACGAUUCAAAGGAAAUCAUCUCUGUUGUGACUAUAAAUAAAA